rfam:Pan troglodytes isolate Yerkes chimp pedigree #C0471 (Clint) chromosome 1, whole genome shotgun sequence.
GCUGGGCGUGGCAGCGUGUGCCUGUAAUCCCAGCUACUUGGGAGGCUGAGGCAGGAGAAUCUCUUGAACCCAGGAGGUGGAGGUUGCAGUGAGCCGAGAUCAUGCCACGGCACUCCAGCCUGGGUGACAGAGCGAGAUUCUGUCUCAA